CUCUUUUGUUUACUUUUUAUUCAAAGAUAGCCGCGUCGCUUUUCGUGCGCUUAUAAAACCCAGUUUUUGUGUAGAUUUCUGUGUACAAGCUUGAUUUCCUUGCUACCUAUCCGUGUUACCUCUGUGAUUGUGGGUGGUUGUUGUGUGCAAUUCGAUCGGGAGUUGCUAAUUGUUGUUCACCUGUAAAACCUGUAAGUUGGAUGAAAUCAAAUUGUUACCAUGAGCGGUUCGAAUGUGGGAGCUACUAGCUGUGGAGCACACCCUAAAAUGAAACAAUAAUCGAAAUUAAACACAAGCACACCUUACCUCAGCGUCGGCAUCGUGCGUGAAGGCUAGAAAUUUCAUCCGGUUUUAUUCCAUGCUCCAAGCAUUUUUUUUUCGCUUCCACCACAACUAAAUCAUACUUCCGUGGUUGAUUUUAUGUUUAUU